rnacentral:rRNA from 1 species
AUUGAACGCUGGCGGCAGGCCUAACACAUGCAAGUCGAACGAGUGGCGGACGGGUGAGUAAUGUCUGGGACACUGCCUGAUGGAGGGGGAUAACUACUGGAAACGGUAGCUAAUACCGCAUACCAUCAGAUCUGCCCAGAUGGGAUUAGCGAGUUGGUGGGGUAACGGCUCACCAAGGCGACGAUCCCUAGCUGGGCUGAGAGGAUGACCAGCCACACUGGGACUGAGACACGGCCCAGACGCCUACGGGAGGCAGCAGUGGGGAAUAUUGCACAAUGGGCGCAAGCCUGAUGCAGCCAUGCCGCGUGUAUGAAGAAGGCCUUCGGGUUGGAAAGUACUUUCAGCGGGGAGGCGUUACCCGCAGAAGAAGCACCGGCUAACUCCGUGCCAGCAGCCGCGGUAAUUC